AUCCAAGAAAAAUAUAUUGACAAUAUUUUUUGAAAAUAUAACAUUUUUAUUUUACACUUUGGAAUUCAACUGCUCUGAAUCAGAUUAAUUACAAUUUUUGGUCAUGUCAUUGUUUCAUCAUUUGUCCACAUAUAGGCCACUUUUAUUGAUUUUGUCAAUUACUUAAUUAUUUAUUUUUAGUAAUAGAAGCCACCCACAAAGCCACUAUCCAAAACAAAAAUGGGGGCUCUAAUUAUAAACAGACCAUAUCAAAUCUUCUGUUUCCCUCACCAGUCCAUCCCUCUCCUCCCUCCCACCCAAAAGAUUCAUCAUCCAGAAUCUUAUGUUCAUUGUUUCUUUCAUCUCAUUGUAUUGUAACUACUUUUUUUUCCUAAAAAGUAUACAAAUACAUAUUUAGUAGUUUUUUUUUUACAAAAAGAAUGUCAGAUUCUAUAUAAUCUUUUAGAAAUUUUGUCACUUAACAUUGUAUGAUAAAAGUAAUUUAUAUUGUUACUUACAGCUAUAUUUCAUUCAUAUUGGUUGCUAUAUAAUAUUCAAUGAGUGAAUGUACCACAGUUCAUUUAUAUGCCAUCUGUUGCUAGACAUUUGGAUUCAUUCUGUUUUUUGUUGGUAAGAACUGUGCUGCUAUAACAUCCUCUUACAUAUCUUCUCUUGUAUAUGCACAAGAGUUUCUCUUGAAUAUAUACCUGGGCCUGGAAGUACUGGAGUAUGGAACAUGUAAAUGUUCAAUUUUAGGAAAAAAUGGCAAGCCUUUCCAAAGUUUUUGCUCUCAUCCAUAAUAUAUGAAAGAGCCUCUGGAUCUAUACUUGGUAUCAUCAGAAUUUUAAAUAUUUGGAAUCCAGUGGAGGUAAAAUGUUACCCUGUUGUGAUCUUAAUAAACAUUAUUUAAAAAUAAAAACAUUUCUUCAUUUCUAGUUUUUUCAGGUAUACUAUACAUUUCAAAAUAUUUUAGUGGUAUGUAGAGUAAUACAAAGUAAUUAAUUGCAAAAUGAUAUGUCUUACUUUGAGCUGAUGGUUUUUUCUAACUUCUCUUUCAUGUCACUACAGGUAUGGCCAGGACUGUGAUAUGCGGUCAUUAUGGCCAUUAUGUUCCCUGAUGGUAUCGCAUGUCCCUAGGCAGAGUGCCAGGAAGUGAGAUCAUGUAUUUACUGUAAGUUUUCCAGUCAUUCAUUCUUUCAUACUCUGGAAGCGUCACCUCAUCCCAAGUGAUUUUAAAAAUACCUAAGAGAUUUCCAUUGACUUAGCAAGGGUAGGAGAGAAAUCGUUUUUCAAAACUCCACAGUCAGCAAAGAAAGAACUAGAAGCCAACAGUAUCAGUCAAUGGAUACUGGAUAGAUCCAUACUUAACAUGGCUGGAAAGCCUCUUUCUUAAAGCCUUGGAUAAGCACAUGGCCUUUAAAUGACCCUUCUCAAUAGGUAAGUGCUCCUGGAAUUGCCAUGUCUCAGAAGGCAGUAACUGUCGCUUCCUGCCUGGAAAAGCCCCAUAUGUCCUGACCACUCAGUGCUAUGAUUGUGUAUCCAUCAACAGUGUUAAAGAGUGUCUGGCUUAUUCCCAUUGUUCCCUGUGGACUAUACUGGCAUAAAGUUAUUUUCUUUCCUGCUCUGUCCUUCAUUAACAUAUACAUAUAGAACUCUUAUAAAUGAUAAACUAUAAAAAAAGAUUUGAAUUCUUUUUGUAAAAAGUUGAAUAUGAAUUAAAAAGAACAAAAGAAAAUAAUUCCAGACUAUUCUGACAUGUUGUCAUAUCCACUUAGUAUAGUGGAUACAAUAUCCACAUAUCAACUUAUUUUUUUGAGAUAAAUCAUGUUCUUUAAUAAGAAUGAUAAACAAGGGCUAUUUCCAUGAAAACUGUCUUCUGGGUAUUUAUACAUGUGGACUUCAUUUUACAGAGCCAAAAAAUUUCCUAUAUUUCAUGCACAUCACAUUUGGAUACAUCUAAUA